rnacentral:rRNA from 1 species
AAUGAACGCUGGCGGUAGGCCUAACACAUGCAAGUCGAACGGCAGCACAGUAAGAGCUUGCUCUUACGGGUGGCGAGUGGCGGACGGGUGAGGAAUACAUCGGAAUCUACUUUUUCGUGGGGGAUAACGUAGGGAAACUUACGCUAAUACCGCAUACGACCUACGGGUGAAAGCAGGGGAUCUUCGGACCUUGCGCGAUUGAAUGAGCCGAUGUCGGAUUAGCUAGUUGGCGGGGUAAAGGCCCACCAAGGCGACGAUCCGUAGCUGGUCUGAGAGGAUGAUCAGCCACACUGGAACUGAGACACGGUCCAGACUCCUACAGGAGGCAGCAGUGGGGAAUAUUGGACAAUGGGCGCAAGCCUGAUCCAGCCAUACCGCGUGGGUGAAGAAGGCCUUCGGGUUGUAAAGCCCUUUUGUUGGGAAAGAAAAGCAGCAGGUUAAUACCCCGCUGUUCUGACGGUACCCAAAGAAUAAGCACCGGCUAACUUCGUG